rnacentral:lncRNA from 10 species
GAGCCAUGGACUCCCACAAUAUGGUGGGGGGAAAGGAAUCAAGCUCAUUUAUCUGGAAAUUAAAGGUAAAGAUGACAUUUCAGAGGUAAAGUGAUUUAGAAUAUUCAAGACAUCUGAUGUGCCCUACUUAUAUAUGUGAAAGACUGGACCAAUAAACAGCAGAAUGUUUACAGUGGUUUGCUCUGGAUAAUGAAAGUAUGAGUUCAACUACGGAGCUUUAAGCUUGAAUUUACUACAGUGGAAGUAGAAGUUUCAGGGGUAAAGUGGAAGAAAAUAUGCAAGUCAACAUGGUGUAUUAUUACAGCUCCAAUUUUGCAUUUCCAGUUCCCUGCUGGGAAUAAAUUAAAUUGGCAGAAGCUCAGUCUAAGUGCCUGCAACAGAAUUUGUCCCAUAUCCAUACAACUUGCUCCUCCACAACAAAUGGGAGAAUCAUCCUCUUACCUCCAGCACCUGCCUCAAACAAAGUUUCUGAUCCAUCUACCACGUAACUUUGACGCUGACCAAGA